GAUGAACGCUGGCGGCGUGCCUAAUACAUGCAAGUCGAGCGAACAGAUGAGGAGCUUGCUCCUCUGACGUUAGCGGCGGACGGGUGAGUAACACGUGGAUAACCUACCUAUAAGACUGGGAUAACUUCGGGAAACCGGAGCUAAUACCGGAUAAUAUAUUGAACCGCAGGGUUCAAUAGUGAAAGACGGUUUUGCUGUCACUUAUAGAUGGAUCCGCGCCGCAUUAGCUAGUUGGUAAGGUAACGGCUUACCAAGGCAACGAUGCGUAGCCGACGUGAGAGGGUGGUCGGCCACCCUGGAACUGAGCCACGGUCCAGGCUCCUACGGGAGGCCGCAGUAGGGAAUCUUCCGCAAUGGGCGAAAGCCUGACGGAGCAACGCCGCGUGAGUGAUGAAGGUCUUCGGAUCGUAAAACUCUGUUAUUAGGGAAGAACAAAUGUGUAAGUAACUAUGCACGUCUUGACGGUACCUAAUCAGAAAGCCACGGCUAACUACGUG
rnacentral:rRNA from 1 species